ACCUGCUAACUCUGCGUACGAGCUGAAGGUGAAGCUGUGUCGGACGGCCAGACCUUUUGUAUUACGCUCUUUGUAUUAUUUGGAGCCAGUUAUUUCACCCUCUCUUGGCAAUUAUGUCGGAUCCAGCACCCGUAGAAGGUGUCCAAGAGGCCGGGGAAGGUGAGAAGCCCAAGUUGAAGCCGUGCUGCGCCUGUCCCGAGACGAAGAAGGUCAGAGAUGCGUGCAUCAUAGAGAAGGGAGAGGAAAACUGUGGUGACCUCAUAGAAGCACACAAAGAGUGCAUGAGAAGCUUGGGCUUCAACGUCUAGCUGCUAAUCCAGGGACAAAUACCUUCAUCAUGUUUUACAGUGCAAUUGUACAGGUGACGGCAGAGCUGACAACUCCUGGCAGUGACUGAUCAAUGUGCAUGGCUGGCCAAACAGAAGUUGUGCUGUAAACAAUUACUUACUGUAACUGAGAAAAUGUGAUGAAGAAAGUUUUCUUCUUUAUCUUGAUGUUUUCAAUGAAAAUUGUGUAGAUUUAGAAUAAUUUUAUGAAGAGGAAUAAAAAGUUGUAGGAUGCAUGGUUUAGAACGUUUUACUUCUAGGUGGAUGAAGUAAUUGACAAGAAGCAAAAAGCAAUAUUGUGUAACUUACAAUUUAAGAUAGGUGUUAAGACUGUCCUGAAGAUAAUGCAUACAAUUUUGGCAUGUUGAUGUCAAACUCUAAAUCUACACUUACAAAGAAAGGAGUAAGCUGUGAAACAAAAAGUGGUAGUUUGGAUAAUAUCUUUGGAGUUUGAGGCAGGCCCCAAAGUAAAUGUCAUUUCUGUCGGUUACUUUAGGUAGUAUUUUCAAAACAAAACAAAACAUAAUAUUUUUUACAACAGCCUGUCACAAGAAGCGUAGGCAUUUUUUCUAAAUACCUCAUACAACAGAAACAGAUAUUUACUAUACAUGUAGGCCACAAGUUGUAACAAUUCCAAGAUAAUGACAAGCUGUACAAAUGCUUCCAAUUGUGAUGAUAGAAUAAAGAAAUUCUCACAUUCUUGA